rnacentral:rRNA from 1 species
AGUGAACGCUGGCGGUAGGCCUAACACAUGCAAGUCGAACGGCAGCACAGUAAGAGCUUGCUCUUGCGGGUGGCGAGUGGCGGACGGGUGAGGAAUACAUCGGAAUCUACUUUUUCGUGGGGGAUAACGUAGGGAAACUUACGCUAAUACCGCAUACGACCUACGGGUGAAAGCAGGGGAUCUUCGGACCUUGCGCGAUUGAAUGAGCCGAUGUCGGAUUAGCUAGUUGGCGGGGUAAAGGCCCACCAAGGCGACGAUCCGCAGCUGGUCUGAGAGGAUGAUCAGCCACACUGGAACUGAGACACGGUCCAGACUCCUACGGGAGGCAGCAGUGGGGAAUAUUGGACAAUGGGCGCAAGCCUGAUCCAGCCAUACCGCGUGGGUGAAGAAGGCCUUCGGGUUGUAAAGCCCUUUUGUUGGGAAAGAAAAGCAGCAGGUUAAUACCCCGCUGUUCUGACGGUACCCAAAGAAUAAGCACCGGCUAACUUCGUG